UCGGGAAUUUUGGGCAAUGGGCGAAAGCCUGACCCAGCAACGCCGCGUGAGGGAUGAAGUAUUUCGGUAUGUAAACCUCGAAAGAAUGGGAAGAAUAAAUGACGGUACCAUUUAUAAGCUCCGGCUAACUACGUGCCAGCAGCCGCGGUAAUACGUAGGGAGCAAGCGUUGUUCGGAUUUACUGGGCGUAAAGGGCGCGUAGGCGGCGCGGUAAGUCACUUGUGAAAUCUCUGAGCUUAACUCAGAACGGCCAAGGGAUACUGCCGUGCUAGAGUGCGGAAGAGGCAACCGGAAUUCUUGGUGUAGCGGUGAAAUGCGUAGAUAUCAAGAGGAACACCGGAGGCGAAGGCGGGUUGCUGGGCCGACACUGACGCUGAUGCGCGAAAGCCAGGGGAGCAAACG
rnacentral:rRNA from 1 species